rnacentral:rRNA from 1 species
AGAGUUUGAUCCUGGCUCAGGAUAAACGCUGGCGGCGUGCCUAAUACAUGCAAGUCGAUCGAUAGAAGUCCAGCUUGCUGGACGGAAAUAGAGGCGAACGGGUGAGUAAUACGUAAGCAACCUGCCCACGAAGACCGGGAUAAUCCCUGGAAACGGGGACUAAGACCGGAUAGGUACACAGACCGCAUGAUCUGUGUAUUAAAGGUGAGAGACACUGGUGGAUGGGCUUACGGUGCAUUAGCUGGAUGGUGAGGUAACGGCCCACCAUGGCGAUGAUGCAUAGCCGGGCUGAGAGGCUGAACGGCCACAUUGGGACUGAGACACGGCCCAGACUCCUACGGGAGGCAGCAGUAGGGAAUUUUCGGCAAUGGGGGCAACCCUGACCGAGCAACGCCGCGUGAGUGAUGAAGGUCUUCGGAUUGUAAAGCUCUGUUGUAAGGGAAGAACGGCAUCUAGAGAAUAGAUGAGUGACGGUACCUUACCAGAAAGCUACGGCUAACUACGUGCCAGCAGCCGCGGUAAUACGUAGGUAGCGAGCGUUAUCCGGAAUUAUUGGGCGUAAAGGGUGCGUAGGCGGCCUGUUAAGUUUAUGGUGAAAGCGUGGGGCUCAACCCCAUAAAGCCAUAGAUACUGGCAGGCUAGAGUACUGGAGAGGGUAGUGGAAUUCCAUGUGUAGCGGUAAAAUGCGUAGAUAUAUGGAGGAACACCGGUGGCGAAGGCGGCUACCUAGACAGAGACUGACGCUGAGGCACGAAAGCGUGGGGAGCAAAUAGGAUUAGAUACCCUAGUAGUCCACGCUGUAAACGAUGAAUGCUAGGUAUCGGGGCGACCCGGUGCCGAAACUAACGCGAUAAGCAUUCCGCCUGUGGAGUAUGCACGCAAGUGUGAAACAUAA